UACGUAGGAUCCAAGCGUUGUCCGGAUUUACUGGGUGUAAAGGGUGCGCAGGCGGGCUGGCAAGUCAGGAGUGAAAUCUCGGCGCUCAACGCCGAAACGUCUUUUUGAUACUGCCAGUCUUGAAUAAGCGAGAGAUCCGUGGAAUUCCGAGUGUAGCAGUGAAAUGUGUAGAUAUUCGGAAGAACACCAGCGGCGAAGGCAGCGGGGUUGGCGCUUUAUUGACGCUCAGGCACGAAAGCAUGGGGGAUAAACAGGAUUAGAAAACCCGGG
rnacentral:rRNA from 1 species